rnacentral:rRNA from 1 species
GACAGAGGUGCCAAGCGUUAGGCGGAAUCACUGGGCUUAAAGCGUGUGUAGGCGGAUCGUUAAGUACCUUGUGAAAUCCCACGGCUCAACCGUGGAACUGCUGGGUAUACUGGCGGUCUUGAGCCACCUAGGGGCAACUGGAACAAGCGGUGGAGCGGUGAAAUGCGUAGAUACUGGGAGGAACACCGGUGGCGAAGGCGGCUACCUGGACGGGUACUGACGCUGAGGCGCGAAAGCUAGGGGAGCAAACAGG